rnacentral:lncRNA from 1 species
CCUUCUUCAGUCUAAUGGGCUCUGCACUCCCUCUGUGCUCCAACAAUGUGACCCUCUCAUCUGGCUGCCUUCGCAACAAUUCUGGUGACCGGACCCACUUCUCCUAUCUCUUCUGACCUGUCACUACGAGCUCAUUCGAGUCCUGUCAUGAAUGUCGCCCACUCAGAAGCCAUUCCCUCCCGCCGCUCAGCCCUUCUUCGGACCCUAGUCCGUCCCACUUUCCGUGGGUAGUUAGGUUCCCUGACACCUUUGCUUUCUGUGAGGUCACAGAACUCACCAUGGUCUGGCGCAGUGCUGCCAUCUCCCGGCUGAGGAGCCAGCGAGGCAGAGGGACAGUUCCACGGAAGUUUGGGAGAUUGUCGCGGCGCCGCAAAGAUGCAGUUUGCGCGGCGGCUCAGCGAGCAGGGAUAAGAACUGCCCGGACGCCGCGGGGAUCCCGCACUAACACCCGGGCCUCGGGGAGAAGUCUCGGCGUCUAGGGCGGGUGAGCAGCGGCAGGGGCGCCUCCGCUGUGGCCCAGGCGCCACCUCCCAAGGCACGGGAGAUUUUCGCCCGCUGGGGCGGCCAGCGCCGGGACGCUCCCCCUCAGCCCAGCUGCUGCGAGGCGCGGAGCAGAGGCCGAAUCACCUGGCGGCGGGCCGGGGUUUGCCGAGCCGAGCGCGCCGGGCUUGCACCCAGCUCACCUCUCUCUGAGCGGGUCGCGUCGACGCGCAGGCCCCUCCCGGAAGGGGCCGUGGGGGUGGGCUGCCCGAGGCCCCGCCCCGGAGGUGGGAGCAGUCCGGGGGGGCGGGGCCCGGCCGGCCCCCGGGGUUCGCGCACCAGGUUCCGACUCCUGUGCGGUGCGGUCGGACUUGGAAGCGGUCUGGGCUGCCAGCGCCUCUCCAGCGCCCAGCGCCGCGGGAGAGCCGAGUGUCCUGUGGUCCAAGUGUGCUGGCGCAGCCAACAGGGGAGCGCUCCAGUCUCACGGCUCCUCCCUGGGUCAAGCCCUCCGGAACACCAAAGCCCCUGAAGACUGACAGCUGUUGGAGCAUCCACCUUGGCAGCUGG